rnacentral:rRNA from 1 species
GGUGCAGGUGGUCUAAUAAGUCAAGUGUGAAAGCCCAGGGCUCAACCCUGGAAGUGCAUUUGAUACUGUUAGGCUCGAGUGUGGGAGAGGAUAGCAGAAUUCCAGGUGUAGUGGUGAAAUACGUAGAUAUCUGGAGGAAUACCGGAGGCGAAGGCGGCUAUCUGGCCCAACACUGACACUCAAACCCGAAAGCGUGGGAUCAAACA